UGUGAGGAGAGGUGAGGGAGAGUUGAAAGUGGCCAAAUCCCAGUUGUUGCUGCAGUGCCAAAUUCCUCCUCACAAGGUGAAUCGCUCUGGCUGGCUGGUGGAUAAGCACGCAUCGUCGGAGAGAGCGUACCUUAUCAGAGGUGUGUCGAGAGGAUGUGGCUGAGAACAGCAUCCCCUUUGGCCGCCCCAUUCUCUCCCCCUCGCUGAACUCCUGCCACAACCACAAAUAAUCUGCCAAGUCAAGGAGAGGAAUUUGAAUAAUCGCAUUCUCUUUUUUCUGCACGUAUCUAUACAUUCAGUUUGUUGUCGCGAAUUAAUUUUUAAUCGGGGAGAAAAUGGCCCAUCGUCAAGGCCCCCCAUUGCCGCCAAUGUUAAACUUGGGCAGUUUGAGGGGUGGAGGGACAGGAUCAGAUAUCAACACAAGAAAGAAACAUUUGGGUCUCGACUUUGGUUCCAUUCUGAAAGAUAAUGAAAAGAAAAAGUCGGAAACGGAUCGAAAAUUUGAAGAAAUUAUUAACCGCAGUGGCAUGAUUACAAUUAAUGGCAAGGUUUAUAAGACUGAGAUUGAUGAAAUGGAGAAUGUCAGUGAGUUGGGUCAAGGCACUUCAGGUCAUGUCGUUAGAAUGACGCACCGACCAUCAAAUUAUACUGUUGCCGUUAAGCAAAUGAGACGUUCUGGCAACCCUGAUGAGAACAAACGGAUCAUUAUGGACCUUGAAGUUGUAUUACAGUCCAAAUGUCCUUUCAUCGUGCAAUGUUGUGGAUAUUUUAUCACUGCUUCGGAUGUGUGGAUUUGUAUGGAAAUGAUGCAAACCUGCAUGGAUAAACUACUAAAGCGACUAAAGAAACCCAUUCCAGAAUCAAUUUUAGGGAAAGUAGCAAUGGCUACGGUGAAGGCGCUUAACUACCUUAAAGAGAACCAUGGUGUUAUCCACAGGGAUGUCAAACCGUCGAAUAUCUUGCUUGAUGAAAAGGGAAACGUAAAACUAUGCGAUUUUGGAAUUUCCGGUCGGCUUGUUGAUUCGAAAGCUAAAACCCGUUCUGCUGGUUGCACUGGAUAUAUGGCUCCGGAAAGAAUCGAUCCCCCAGAUCCAUCAAACCCCAAUUAUGACAUUCGUGCUGACGUCUGGAGCCUUGGUAUCACUCUUGUUGAACUUGCUACAAGUAAAUUUCCAUACGGUGAUUGCCACACAGAUUUUGAAGUGAUGACAAAAAUUCUCAGAGUUGAUCCUCCUAGUCUACCUUCUGAUAUGAAUUUUUCUGAAGAAUUCUGCAGUUUUGUUAACUUAUGCCUUCAGAAAGAUUUCAAGCAGAGACCCAAGUACAAAAUAUUGCUGAACCAUCCCUUCAUCAAACGAAGUGAGAGGAGUGCGGUAGACGUUCGCACUUGGUACAAUCUUGUUGUCCCACAAAAGCAUCCCGUUUCCAACUCUUUGUCAUUUCAAUCAAAUAUUGGACGUCAUUCCGGCCGUAUGUUGAGAUCCUCUACCGCUGGGUCACCAUCUCCAUCUGGAUCGAAUACUUUCGUCACGACGCCAGGAACUCGGCCCAGUAGGUAUGAAGAGUUCAGUUUACCGUCACCAAACUUGAGAACUCCGACGCCGUCGACCCCUGGGACGCCAAGCCCAAAUAAUUCAAUCCCACCAGAGCCUCCUCCAAGACUUAGUCGUAUGUCAUCCGGAUCUGAUGGACUGAGGACGCCAACCAACAGCAGCAGCUCGAGUAGUGGAAACAACUUGACCAGUCCCAGCCCAACGUCAGUGUCCAUGUCCAGUCCAUCUCCUGAUGGUCCCCCACCAAUACGGAGAGAACAAUUGCAACAAUCUUGACUUUUAUUUUCCUUGCAUGGAUACUUCUUGGAAUGACUUAAAAAUGCCAAUAAUGCAGACUGCGUGCCGUUUUACUUUGCUACAACAGCAGUUGUUGAAUAUAAUAUGGACACGGGAAUUGAAUUUUAUUUAUCUGUACAUUCUCCCAAUGAUUUUCUGGAAAUACGUCGUGAAAAAAAGCAGCAUUAAUUAAGAAAAAUCAAACAAAAGUCUAAUCUACAAAAGACAAUGUCUCACUUCGCAAAAAGAAACGAUGGUGGAGUCACUUGACUGAUAUGACGCGUAAUAAUAGUAAUAAUUACAUAGUAAUACAAAAAAAAUCGUUGAGAUGACCACUUCAGGACGUGGUUAUUAAUGUUUUAUCUGCACCAGAAUUGUAUUUUGUUAAACUUAUUAUUUUGUUUUUAAUGUCACUCGCAAUUGUUUUUAAUUUAUGAUGGUAAUACUAAUGAUGUCAAAAGUAUGUGGGCAAGUACGAUCGCUCAAAUAAGGAUUACAGAAUUUAUAUACUUCCUUUUUCAUGAUUUCCGCACUGUGUUAUUCUUUGUAAUCUAAAGUAUUAAUUGUUUAAGAUAGAACUGACGGACAUAACAUUAACGAAUUGAAUUAAGCGUCCAAAUCGAAAGUGUCAAUUUUUAUCAUUGUCGAACAUAUAGUUUUUAAACUUCCGUCGGUCAAUAGCUAAAUCACGAAUUAUUAUUAGAACCGCAUAUUAUCAAAUAAUAGAUGAAUCCAUCGCGUAUGGUUAAUACAUAUAUUAUAUCUUGAAUAGUUCAGUGUCAAAUGUACAACCAUUUAAAAACAAAACAAAUGUAUUAGUCACAACUCGUAACUAUAUAGGAUCCUGCACUUUGAGAAAUAUCUAUAAAAAUGCUAUAAGACUACCUUACCACAGUUUUGCAUAUCGUAAUCAUUUCAGUUAUUUUUAAAACUGCUGAUUUUACUGUAACGAGCCGCUGCGCUGGUAGCCGAUAAGUGUAUCAGAUGCGGUGUAUUGUGGUUAUUGAAUAUUUAACGAACCCUUCAUUUCCAGUUUUAAUUCAAAACUCAUUUUACCAGAAUUGAAACUGCCAACGAUUUAGUGCUUUCUGCAUCGUCGCAGGACGAAAUAAAAGUUAAGACAAUUUUACCCUUUAUUAGGAAUAAUAAUAUGUAUUAUAAGAUUGAAACUACUUAAAUAAGAAGACGAUUUUCGAUGUAUUCCUCAUAUUCAAUAAUAUUGACAUGAACCACGUAUUUACGCAGUAUCCAUCAGCGUUUAAAUUCAAUAAUUACAAUUUAGUAGGGUAUCCUGUUAAUUGAUAUGGGUUGUGAAACGUUCACGAUUUGACGAUUAUCCUCCAUUUGUUAUGACCUACUUAUUAUUAUUGUUAUCAUACAUUACCUCGCUAUAUAAAGUGACAUUUUGAUUGAUAUGACGAUUGGGCCAGUAAAGGUUCAUGAAAAUUAUGACGAAAUCAAAUAGUAUGAAUGAAAGGUGGUAAAGAAGUGCUGCGAGUAAUAAUUAUAUACCAACAAUUUGCUAUGCCAUUUGAAAAUGUUUUAAAAAUAUCAUGUUUGCUGGAAUCUACAACUUGAGAAAAGUGCUCCGAUGAGUUCAAAUAAACAAUGAUAAACUAUAAAA